UGCUCAAUGGUGCAGGGGUGCAUGCCUGUGAAUAGUGAUGUCUUCUACAGUGUACCAGCAGGAGGCGUCCGUUCGACUCGGGCUUGGGCCA